GGAGCUCAGCCCUUCCUCAUCACAAGCUUCUCUCACCCGCAGCGUGAGCUGAUGGACGGAGAGCAGCGCAGUCCCCGUGUCAGACACCGGCUGCUCAGACACAGCACAGCCGAAGGCAGAGCCCAAAAUGCAGGUGGGGCUCUGCAGAGGGAGCCUGGUGAGGAACCGCUGGGCACAUCCACCCAGCAGCUAACGAGGCCUGCCCACCUGGCAGCUGCACAGCCCGAGGGAGAUGGACCUUCCAAAGCAUUCAAAUGGGUUGCCUCCCCGAGACAAGUUUUUCAGGCUUGGGAUUGGAGAGGUUUUCUGAGUGCGCUCCCAGCCCUGGCUGCCAAAACAGAAUGGGAUGCACAAGUGAGAGAGUCAGCGAGCCCCCAGGCCGGGUCAGAGCGGGAUCACUGGGGAACUCUCACAUCCAAUAUUGCAGGGGGGGGAAAAAGGCGUCACAGCUGAAAAUUGGCCCAGAAGAGAAGAGUGGAAGCACAUCAGUGCUGCAGCAGAGAGCUGCCUGGGCUGCAUGCGGAGCGCAGGGGAUGGCGUUAGAGCUGAAAGUUACUUGGAAAUGCUGAUGGAUGAAACUCAAUCUGCCAUAUAAAAGUUUAAUUAGAGCGCUGUUAAACCCAAGCUUUCUGGAAGGGACAAAGGAAACCGGGUUUCUAGAAGAUUCCUUCUUCUCCUGGGACUCCGUAAUAGACCUGGAAACAUGGCUGUGGAAUUUCAUCACCACCCAGAGGACAACCAUCCGGACAGCAUCCCAAGGUUUCCCAGCACAAAGGAUGGAGAGAGCCUCUCUGCUCCACCUACAGACGGCUCCUUGUCUGAGGAGCAGAGCUGGGCCAGGGCUGGAGGAGCCACUCGAGAGAAGGAAGGCUGUCGUUGGGGAGCAGCGCCUGCUGCAAAGGGAGCCGCGGCGCGGGCUGCACCUCCACCGCCUACUGAUGGCUGCAACGUCGGUGCUCGGGCACUGGGACACACCCGGGGAACACGCGGGACCGCGGGCGCUGUGUCUGUACAAAUCCCAGCUGCUGUUACCCGGGUGUUGGAAUGAGGUAAGAGGGAAGCACUCCGGGG
rnacentral:lncRNA from 1 species